rnacentral:rRNA from 1 species
UACGAAGGGGGCUAGCGUUGUUCGGAAUUACUGGGCGUAAAGCGCACGUAGGCGGGUUGUUAAGUCAGGGGUGAAAUCCCGGAGCUCAACUCCGGAACUGCCUUUGAUACUGGCAAUCUAGAGACUGGAAGAGGUUAGUGGAAUUCCCAGUGUAGAGGUGAAAUUCGUAGAUAUUGGGAAGAACACCAGUGGCGAAGGCGGCUCUCUGGGACGGUACUGACGCUGAGACGCGAAAGCGUGGGGAGCGAACAGG